UACAUCUUGUGCAAUAUCUCACAUUCUCCAAUAUACAUCACUAUAGAAACAUACAUGUUCUCCACGAAAACACAUUCAAUUCAUCACUCUAUUUCACGAGAGCUCUUUCUCAAGCUUUAUUCAAUCCUUGCCGAAGGAGACGUGCGCGCUCUUCCCAAGCCACCAUUCUCAUUAAUUUGGACAAGUUUGAAGGUUUCAACUUAAGCAGUCAGUUAAUGACAAAGAUGACUGAUUGGUGGCCCUUUUGCCAAAGGUAUUGCUUUUGAUGGUCCUUGCCAUUUUAUUACUAGUAGAGAAUUAGUGGCCCUUGUUUACAUACACUUGUGUUUCUUUGUGGGGUAUCCCGAUUUGGUCUUGAUUGGAGGUAUGUGCUUUAAUUGCUGCAAAAUAAUAUGAAAUAAAGCCUUCGUAUCUUUAGAUUUUGUAAUGAUCAUUGUCUUGUAGUGCUGGUAGUUUUUCGGUUUCCUGUUAUAUUCUCUCCUUUUGCGGUGUGUCUAAAUUGAUGGCUGCAACUUGUUUGGUACGUGCUGUUAUUGGAGGCUAGCUUUUUUGAAAUAUGCUUUUUCUCAGUCUUCGAGAGGUUUCCAGGUUAGAAUUUUCCAUGAGAUUGAAUUUGUUGGUUGUGGAGCAUUCAAAACGUAGGCUCUUAUAUAUGUCGUGCCUUUUCUCACGUUUAUUAAUUGCGACAGGAACUCAUAUCUGUAUUUGGAGACUCUAAUUUCUUUGUUGAAUAAGCUCUUCUUGUAAGCAUCUAAUAAUUAAUGGCAUGAGGAUCUACUAUUAGACUUUCAAGAUUGACUUUGUUGCUGAUGAUGCUGGAUAUCUUAGAAUCUAUUCUGGGAUUAACUUUGUUGCUUGUCGUGAGAUAUUUGUUCUUGUAGAAGUGAGAUCCAAUUCUUGGCUAAGCUUAUCCUAGAAUGAAAUGGUAUGUUUUGUCCACUACUUGUGAGCUUUUCAUAUCUGUGGCUGAGAACUCAUUGUAGAGUUUGUUCUGUUUUAGCAUUUGGUAUUGUAGAGCUUUCAAUAUUGUGGAUUGUGGUUGCUAUGCUAUAUUACUUUAUAAACUGCUGGGAUUUGGAUGAAGUUGUAGACGUCUUCGUAUAUUGAAGAUAAGCACUGUGUUUAUAUGCAAUAAUAUGGCCCCAAUAGAUGCUUGGCUUACUUUGGUUAGUUGUAUUAUGUACUAUGUGAAGUAAAAAAAUUGAUCUUCUCUUUGUUUAUUUUUUCAUACCCUUGCUUUUGACAUGACGUAGUAGUAAUUUUUUUUUGAUAAAUUACAUAAGUAAAUAAAACGGCAGGUUUUGGACAUUAAUUACCUACCGCUAAGACAACACACACGCGCGAGCACACAUUGUAGUAACUUGAUGCUAUAAAUAAUGUAUGAUGUGUAUAUUUGAUCCAAAUGCAGAAUUCCACCCAUCUUUUUUGGGUUUGUUUCUUUUUUUCA